rnacentral:rRNA from 1 species
CCUGCGCCAGCGAUGGCCGCUUGCGAGGUGCUGCAUGGUUGUCGUCAGCUCGUGCCGUGAGGUGUCGGGUUAAGUCCCAUAACGAGCGCAACCCCUACUGCUAGUUGCCAGCGGGUCAUGCCGGGGACUCUAGCGGAACUGCCAGCGUAAGCUGCGAGGAAGGUGGGGAUGACGUCAAAUCAGCACGGCCCUUACGUCCAGGGCUACACACGUGUUACAAUGGCCGGUACAGAGGGCAGCCACCCCGCGAGGGGGCGCGAAUCCCGAAAGCCGGUCCCAGUUCGGAUCGGAGUCUGCAACCCGACUCCGUGAAGCUGGAUUCGCUAGUAAUCGCGCAUCAGCCACGGCGCGGUGAAUACGUUCCCGGGCCUU